rnacentral:rRNA from 1 species
GACGAACGCUGGCGGCGUGCUUAACACAUGCAAGUCGAACGGUAAGGCUCCAGCUUGCUGGGGUACACGAGUGGCGAACGGGUGAGUAACACGUGGGUGACCUGCCCUGCACUUCGGGAUAAGCCUGGGAAACUGGGUCUAAUACCGGAUAGGACCGCACCGUGAGGGUGUGGUGGAAAGUUUUUUCGGUGUGGGAUGGGCCCGCGGCCUAUCAGCUUGUUGGUGGGGUAAUGGCCUACCAAGGCGGCGACGGGUAGCCGGCCUGAGAGGGUGGACGGCCACAUUGGGACUGAGACACGGCCCAGACUCCUACGGGAGGCAGCAGUGGGGAAUAUUGCACAAUGGGCGGAAGCCUGAUGCAGCGACGCCGCGUGGGGGAUGACGGCCUUCGGGUUGUAAACUCCUUUCACCAUCGACGAAGGGUUUCUGACGGUAGAUGGAGAAGAAGCACCGGCUAACUACGUGCCAGCAGCCGCGAUAAUACGUAGGGUGCGAGCGUUGUCCGGAAUUACUGGGCGUAAAGAGCUCGUAGGUGGUUUGUCGCGUCGUCUGUGAAAUUCCGGGGCUUAACUCCGGGCGUGCAGGCGAUACGGGCAUAACUUGAGUACUGUAGGGGAGACUGGAAUUCCUGGUGUAGCGGUGAAAUGCGCAGAUAUCAGGAGGAACACCGGUGGCGAAGGCGGGUCUCUGGGCAGUAACUGACGCUGAGGAGCGAAAGCAUGGGGAGCGAACAGGAUUAGAUACCCUGGUAGUCCAUGCCGUAAACGGUGGGCGCUAGGUGUGGGUUUCCUUCCACGGGAUCCGUGCCGUAGCUAACGCAUUAAGCGCCCCGCCUGGGGAGUACGGCCGCAAGGCUAAAACUCAAAGGAAUUGACGGGGGCCCGCACAAGCGGCGGAGCAUGUGGAUUAAUUCGAUGCAACGCGAAGAACCUUACCUGGGCUUGACAUAUACAGGAUCGCGCCAGAGAUGGUGUUUCCCUUGUGGCUUGUAUACAGGUGGUGCAUGGUUGUCGUCAGCUCGUGUCGUGAGAUGUUGGGUUAAGUCCCGCAACGAGCGCAACCCUUGUCUUAUGUUGCCAGCACGUUGUGGUGGGGACUCGUAAGAAACUGCCGGGGUUAACUCGGAGGAAGGUGGGGAUGACGUCAAAUCAUCAUGCCCCUUAUGUCCAGGGCUUCACACAUGCUACAAUGGUCGGUACAGUGGGUUGCCAGUCCGUGAGGGCGAGCUAAUCCCGCAAAGCCGGUCUCAGUUCGGAUCGGGGUCUGCAACUCGACCCCGUGAAGUCGGAGUCGCUAGUAAUCGCAGAUCAGCAACGCUGCGGUGAAUACGUUCCCGGGCCU